UGUAAGCGUAUACCAAAGUUGUUGCAGUUAAAACGCUCGUAGUCGGACUUUGGCAGUUCCGGAUGUGUGCACGUCGUGUGCGCACUUCGCGGGGAUUGCUUUUGUGGUCUUGCGUAGGAUGAGGCACUUUUAUUAGUGAACGUCCUCACGCAACCACUUUUUACUGUGAGAAAAUCAGAGUGCUCAAAGCAGGCAUUUGCCGUGAAUGUAUUAGCAUGGAAUAAUAGAAUAGGACUUGGUUCUAUUUUGUUGGUUUGUUGGGACUGAGUAAUGAUUAAGAGGGACAGUUGGGGGCAUUUGUAUUUCGGUGCUAGAGGUGAAAUUCUUAGAUUACCGAAAGACAAACUGCUGCGAAAGCGUCUGCCUAGGAUGUUUUCAUUGA
rnacentral:rRNA from 1 species